UUCCGGUUGAUCCUGCCGGAAGCUACUGCUAUUGGAAUUCGACUAAGCCAUGCGAGUCAAGGUGUCUUCGGACGCCGGCAAACGGCUCAGUAACACGUAGGUAAUCUACCCUCAGGACUGAGAUAACCCCGGGAAACUGGGGCUAAUACCAGAUAGAUAAAAGAUACUGGAAUGUUCUUAUAUCCAAAGCUUUUGUGCCUGAGGAUGAGCCUGCGCCCGAUUAGGUAGUUGGUGGGGUAAUGGCCCACCAAGCCUGCGAUCGGUACGGGCAGUGGGAGCUGUAGCCCGGAGUUGGGGACUGAGACAAGGCCCCAGGCCCUACGGGGCGCAGCAGGCGCGAAACCUCUGCAAUGCGGGAAACCGUGACAGGGGGAUUCCAAGUGCUCAUGCAUUGCAUGGGCUGUUCUUUGGUCUAAGUAACCAGAGGAGUAAGGGCUGGGCAAGACCGGUGCCAGCCGCCGCGGUAAUACCGGCAGCUCGAGUGGUAGCCGCGAUUAUUGGGCCUAAAACGUUCGUAGCCGGAUAAGUAAGUCUUUGGUUAAAUCCUACGACUUAACCGUGGGAAAUCUAGAGAUACUGCUUGUCUUGAGACCGGGAGAGGUUGGAGGUACUCCCAGGGUAGGGGUGAAAUCCUGUAAUCCUGGGGGGACCACCUGUGGCGAAGGCGUCCAACUGGAACGGCUCUGACGGUGAGGGACGAAACCUAGGGGAGCGAGCCGGAUUAGAUACCCGGGUAGUCCUAGGCGUAAAUGAUGCGAGUUAAGUGUGGGGGCAUCUACGAGAUGGCCCUGUGCUGUAGGGUAGCCGUUAAACUCGCUGCCUGGGGAGUACGGUCGCAAGGCUGAAACUUAAAGGAAUUGGCGGGGGAGCACCACAAGAGGUGGAGGCUGCGGUUCAAUUGGAUUCAACGCCGGG
rnacentral:rRNA from 1 species